GACUGUUUAGUUUAAAAAAAAAUAAAGGCCUUGUAAGCUUUAGCUCAACUAAGUUGAAUAGUCU
rnacentral:tRNA from 1 species